AGCAUGGGUGUUUUUGCUUACCUUGUAGACAAAAACUUAUAGACAGGUGCAAAAAAAAAAUUCCACAUUUCCAACCCAGAACCCAUUGUUCAGUAAUGAAUUUUAAUCCAUGUAAGAAAGAAUAUU
ensembl:snoRNA